GAAAGUGACUGUACCCGAAUAAGAAGGUCCGGCUAACUUCGUGCCAGCAGCCGCGGUAAUACGAAGGGACCUAGCGUAGUUCGGAAUUACUGGGCUUAAAGAGCUCGUAGGUGGUUAGAAAAGUUGGUGGUGAAAUCCCAAGGCUUAACCUUGGAACUGCCAUCAAAACUUUUUAACUAGAGUAUGAUAGAGGAAAGUGGAAUUUCUAGUGUAGAGGUGAAAUUCGUAGAUAUUAGAAAGAACACCGAUUGCGAAGGCAGCUUUCUGGAUCAUUACUGACACUGAGGAGCGAAAGCAUGGGUAGCGAAGAGGAUUAGAUACCCUCGUAGUCCAUGCCGUAAACGAUGUGUGCUAGACGUUGGAAAUUUAAUUUUCAGUGUCGCAGCAAAAGCGUUAAGCACACCGCCUGGGGAGUACGACCGCAAGGUUAAAACUCAAAUGAAUUGACGGGGACCCGCACAAGUAGUGGAGCAUGUGGUUUAAUUCGAAGAUACGCGCAGAACCUUACCAACACUUGACAUGUUCGUCGCGACUCUAAGAGAUUAGAGUUUUCGGUUCGGCCGGACGAAACACAGGUGCUGCAUGGCUGUCGUCAGCUCGUGUCGUGAGAUGUUGGGUUAAGUCCCGCAACGAGCGCAACCCCCACUUUUAGUUGCUACCAUUUAGUUGGGCACUCUAAAAGAACUGCCAGUGAUAAGCUGGAGGAAGGCGGGGAUGACGUCAAGUCCUCAUGGCCCUUACGUGUUGGGCUACACACGUGCUACAAUGGUACUUACAGUGAGAAGCAAAGAGGCGACUCUAAGCUAAUCCCUAAAAGGUACCUCAGUUCGGAUUGUACUCUGCAACUCGAGUACAUGAAGCUGGAAUUACUAGUAAUCGCGGAUCAGCGCGCCGCGGUGAAUACGUUCCCGGGUCUUGUACACACCGCCCGUCACACCAUGGAAGUUGGUUACACCUUAAGGCAAAGCAU
rnacentral:rRNA from 1 species